UACGGAGGGGGCUAGCGUUGUUCGGAAUUACUGGGCGUAAAGCGCGCGUAGGCGGACCUGCAAGUCGGGGGUGAAAGCCCGAGGCUCAACCUCGGAACUGCCUUCGAUACUGCGGGUCUCGAGUCCGGGAGAGGGAUGCAGAAUUCCAGGUGUAGCGGUGAAAUGCGUAGAUAUCUGGAGGAAUACCGGUGGCGAAGGCGGCAUCCUGGACCGGCAUUGACGCUGAGGCGCGAAAGCCAGGGGAGCAAACGGG
rnacentral:rRNA from 1 species